rnacentral:rRNA from 1 species
GGAAACGAGGGGAGUGCCCUUGGGAACCCGGUGACAGGUGGUGCAUGGUUGUCGUCAGCUCGUGUCGUGAGAUGUUGGGUUAAGUCCCGCAACGAGCGCAACCCUCGCCUUUAGUUGCCAGCAUUCAGUUGGGCACUCUAAAGGGACUGCCGGUGUCAAACCGGAGGAAGGUGGGAUGACGUCAAGUCCUCAUGGCCUUUAUGUCUAGGGCUACACACGUACUACAAUGGCAGGUACAAAGGGCAGCGACACAGCGAUGUGAUGCGAAUCCCGAAAAGCCUGUCUCAGUCCGGAUCGGAGUCUGCAACUCGACUCCGUGAAGUUGGAAUCGCUAGUAAUCGUGGAUCAGCAUGCCACGGUGAAUACGUUCCCGGGCCUU